CCAAUAGCGUAUAUUAAAGUUGUUGCAGUUAAAAAGCUCGUAGUUGAAUUUCGGGGUCAGUAAGUUGGUCGUGCCACUGGUAUGUACUGGCUUUACUGAUUCCUCCUUCUUGUAGAACCGUAAUGCCAUUAAUUUGGUGUUGCGGGGAAACAGGACUGUUACUUUGAAAAAAUUAGAGUGUUUAAAGCAGGCUAACGCCUGAAUACAUUAGCAUGGAAUAAUGAAAUAGGACGUUCGAUCCUAUUUUGUUGGUUUCUAGGGUUGACGUAAUGAUUAAUAGGGAUAGUUGGGGGCAUUAGUAUUCAAUUGUCAGAGGUGAAAUUCUUGGAUUUAUUGAAGACUGACUACUGCGAAAGCAUUUGCCAAGGAUGUUUUCAUUAAUCAAGAACGAAAGUUAGGGGAUCGAAGACGAUCAGAUACCGUCGUAGUCUUAACCAUAAACUAUGCCGACUAGGGAUCGGAUGAUGUUAAUUUUUUAAUGACUCAUUCGGCGCCUUACG
rnacentral:rRNA from 1 species